rnacentral:rRNA from 1 species
UACAGAGGGUGCGAGCGUUAAUCGGAAUUACUGGGCGUAAAGCGCACGUAGGUGGCGACGUAAGUCGGGUGUGAAAGCCCCGGGCUCAACCUGGGAAUUGCAUUCGAGACUGCAUUGCUGGAGUACGGAAGAGGAGGGCGGAAUUCCCGGUGUAGCGGUGAAAUGCGUAGAUAUCGGGAGGAGCAUCAGUGGCGAAGGCGGCCCUCUGGUCCAGUACUGACACUCAAGUGCGAAAGCGUGGGGCGCAAGCAGG